rnacentral:tRNA from 1 species
GCCUUCGUGGUGUAAUGGUCAGCACACUCGGCGCGUAUUCGAGAAGUCCGAGGUUCGAAUCCCGGCGAAGGCA